CUUUGAUCUUUUAGGAGUCUCUGAAUCUAGGUAUGGAGUCCUUAUUUUAGUUGAGAGUGGAUCAUUUAAAGUCAUUCUGCGUCCAGGAAUAAUCCUGGAGACAAAAUGGAAGGUGCAAUGGGGAUAUUCUGACUUCUGUCAUAAAUCUACUCUGGAGUGGACAAUUCAAGUUGGGCAGGAUCUUCUAGACAUGGAUUUAGAUGCCAUUACAAAACAUUCAGCAUUGCAUGCAAAGCCCAAUGGACUCAUUCUUCAAUAUGGGACUGCCGGAUUUCGAUCGAAGGCAGAACAUCUUGAUCAUGUCAUGUUUCGCAUGGGAUUAUUAGCUGUCUUGAGGUCAAAACAGACAAAAUCUACAAUAGGAGUCAUGGUGACAGCAUCACACAAUCCUGAGGAAGACAAUGGUGUAAAAUUGGUUGAUCCUUUGGGUGAAAUGUUAGCACCAUCCUGGGAGGAACAUGCUACCUGUUUGGUAAAUGCUGAGGAACAAGAUAUGCAGAGAGUGCUGAUUGACAUCAGUGAGAAAGAAGCUGUGAAUCUGCAACAAGAUGCCUUCAUAGUUAUUGGUAGAGAUACCAGGCCCAGCAGCGAGAAACUUGCACAAUCUGUAGUCGAUGGUGUGACUGCUUUGGGAGGUCAAUUCAAUGAUUAUGGCUUGUUAACAACACCGCAGCUGCACUACAUGGUGUACUGUCGAAAUACCAGUGGCCAAUAUGGAAAGGCAACCAUAGAAGGUUACUACCAGAAACUCUCUAAGGCUUUUGUGGAACUUUCCAAACAGGCUUCCGGCAAUGGAAAUGAAUACAGAUCACUUAAGGUCGACUGUGCAAAUGGUAUAGGGGCCCUGAAGCUAAGAGAAAUGGAACACUACUUCUCACAGGGGCUGUCAGUUCAGCUAUUUAAUGAUGGGACCGAAGGGAAACUCAAUCAUUUAUGUGGGGCUGACUUUGUGAAAAGUCAUCAGACACCUCCUCAGGGAAUGGAAAUGAAGUCCAAUGAAAGAUGCUGUUCCUUUGAUGGAGAUGCAGACAGAAUUGUUUACUACUACCUUGAUGAUGCUGAUGGUCACUUUCAUCUUAUAGAUGGAGACAAAAUAGCAACAUUAAUAAGCAGUUUCCUUAAAGAGCUUCUUUUGGAGAUUGGAGAAAGUUUGAAUGUUGGUGUUGUACAAACUGCUUACGCAAAUGGAAGUUCAACACGGUAUCUUGAAGAAAUUAUGAAGGUACCUGUUUAUUGUGCUAAAACCGGUGUAAAACAUUUGCACCACAAGGCUCAAGUGUUUGACAUUGGAGUUUAUUUUGAAGCUAAUGGGCAUGGCACAGUACUGUUUAGUAAAGCUGCUGAAAUGAAGAUAAAACAACUAGCAAAUGAUUUAGAAGAUAAGAAAAUGAAAGCUGCUAAGCUGCUUGAAAACAUUAUUGACUUGUUUAACCAGGCAGUUGGUGAUGCUAUUUCUAACAUGCUGGUGAUUGAAGCAAUUUUGACUCUGAAGGGCUGGACUGUACAACAGUGGGAUGCUCUCUAUACAGAUCUUCCAAACAGACAACUGAAAGUUAAGGUUUCAGACAGGCAAGUUAUUAGUACCACUGAUGCUGAAAGACAAGCAGUAACACCCCCAGGAUUACAGGAGGCAAUUAAUGACCUGGUUAAGAAGUACAGGCUUUCCCGAGCUUUUGUCCGGCCCUCUGGAACAGAAGAUGUAGUCCGAGUAUAUGCAGAAGCAGACUCACAAGAAAAUGCAGACAACCUUGCACAUGAAGUGAGCUUGGCAGUGUAUCGUCUGGCUGGAGGAAUUGGAGAAAGACCCUAACCAGUACUCACCGUCUUUAAUACAGAUGGGGAGGAUGGAGAAGACUUUGUACAACAAAUUUCUCCAUAGUAGAGUCUUCAGAAUGACUAUUUGAAGACUUACCAUUCCAUUAACAUCAUCAGGAACUCAGAGGUAUAAUGUGGAGGUCGUACAUCUCUACUCCAAACUGAGAGGUCAGAGAUGAUCAUGGUACACUUACAAGGAUGCAUGGGCCAGAUUUCAGUUAUUCUUUCUUUACUGAUCUUAUUGAAGCUAUGUGGAAGAAAAACUAAUUGAAAAGAUAUUACACAAAGCCUGUAAUAGAGAAGUAAUACUAUUCUGGUAAUAGAGCCUGAUUAGUAAUGGGAAGAAAAUUCUCCAAUCAAUUUAAAUUAAGCAACUCAUGAAACCAAUAGAAAAAAUGUGCACUGUGUAUUUUGCAGGUUUAAGACAACUCAAGACAGUAAAACAAUGGACUGUGUAUAUGUAGGUCUCUCUCAGGCACCAUAAUCAGUAUGAGCCAACACUAUUUAAACUUGAUUCAGGCCACAGUCAGACAUUUGCUCCUAUUUACAAAUAUUUAAAUUAAAUACAACCUGAAGUGUGUUUUGUUACAUUAAAAAACAAAACAAAAAACUGUACAACUCAGAGAGGUGUUUGUUUUAAAUAAUUAGGUUUACAUUUAAAUUAAAUGUAACUGUUUGUGAUCAAGUUUUUAUCACCCCUUCCAGAAAAUCCUUCUCUACCAUCUCCUCUAUUUUUUGCCUGGCUUUGCUUGAAAAUGGUUUGUGGUUCUCCAGUUUCAUGUCCUUAUUAGGAAAGGCGUUUGAAUAGAGGACAGGGCUCCCUGAGUGUCCUAUACAUCGGCUUGUGACUUUGCUGUUGAAGACUUGGCUGAGUACAUUGAAGAAUGGCAGAAGCUGCUCAAUACUUCGCACAGUACAGAUGGUGAGCAGCAAGUGCCCCGGCUCCCAACCCAUUGUUCUCCCUGAGUUGUCUUCCUCUGGGUUUUUCUGCAGAGACAAAAAGGGAGUUAUUAACAGAUGAUAGUACACUGGAAAAAUUUAAAGGACAUAAAUAUCAACAGUCAGAUUUAAGAGAAAAAUCCUGAGAAAGGAAGUAUUUAAAAUGGAAGACUCCAGAAGCCAACAAAAUCACCAUGUUUUUUAACUGCAAAAACAACUCUUACAACACUGGCUUUGAGAAUCCUGUGGCUGGGUUUUACAUUAUUGACUUCAUUAUUACUCAAGUUCUGAUAAUCCACUGACCGAUCAUCCCCUAAAUCAAACUGCAAUUAAAUGGUAAUUGAAGGGUACACAGGGACGAAUUUAUCCUAAAUGCUUGAACCAUCAACAUAGCUAGUUUCAAAUGUAAGAGAGUAUGUAGUAACUUAAAAAAAAAAAAAAUUCCUUUUCAUUAUGUGCCUUUAAAAGAGGGACUUGAUCUAAAGGGAAUGGGCUGUUUCAGCUGUUCUUUAUCAGAAGUGCACCCAAUUUCAGAAAAUUUAAGAUCAACCAUAUUCUCAUACAAACGAUCUCUCUUGAUUUCUUAAGUAAUCUACACUUGAAGAAAGACUUCCCUCCUCUUUAUCUCUCUUGUACUUGUUGAAAUCCAGACCUGGGUUUAUGUCUCAAUAUCUGGUCCAGACAUGGCAGUUUUGCUGCCAUAUCACAAGCAUCAAAAAGCCAUCCUCACCUGAUGGUUGGCCAUCUCCAAUCCCUCCAAAAUCACUGUCUUAAAGUGUUCCUCCUUGUCCUGUGGACGCAAAGAGGAGAACUCACAGCCUUUGCUGCAAUAAAAAAAUAUGCUUGGCUAUGAAGGCCUUGUUUAAAGUAAUUUGGAUGGGAAAAUGCUUUACAACCCAAACAGUUUUCUUAUUUCUGUGGGACACAUUUUAGACAAAGGCUGUCAUAUUUAUCAGUUAGAUGAGAGACGUGUCUUACAAAAAUUCAUUAUCAAUUGAGCUGUAGGAGAGAAGGUAUAUGUGCCUGGGGUCAUAUUAAAUCACACUGCCUCUAGAUUUUGUUGUCAUGAUUAUUUUUCCAGACACUAUGAUUGCCCUCAAAGAGGACAUACCUAGCAGUCCUAAAUUCUGGACCCAACUUUUCAUCCUCAUCUCUGUCCUUUAAUUCAGCCCCUAGAAAAGCAACUGGCAUUUUAAAUAACGUUUUUCUUGUCCUUCAAGUACAACCUCCUUUUUAAUCACUUUCCUCCAAUCCAUUUCCAUAGUUAGUAGAAUGUGGUUUAGAGCUGCUGCUUGAUUGUGGGAUUCCAGAAGACUAGAAAAUUUCUGAGCACUCAAAGCACAUACUGCAAACUAGGACUCACAAAACAGGCUAGAUCAGUCCUAAAUUGCACAAGUUGUUUUUGAAAAUUUUUGAAUACAAGAGAAAAUAUGACAAAAGAUUUGUAAAACGGGUCUGUUAGCGAGCAUGCCAAUUUCACUACUGGUCCUUUCUUAAGGAGAGAAACUAUAAUCAGCAGGACACAUACUGAAAGGCUUAAGACACGAUAAAAAUAUAUUUUACCAAUUUUACCUUCACUUCCUUUAUGGUAUGUUUUAAGUGAAUUCCCAUUUUUUUCCCCUGAGAAGUUUCUCUAGAUGCUUUAUACUUAAGAGUCCCUUCACUAUUCUAGUAGAGACAGUGUUUUAAAGUCUGCAGUUGUGGGGGAGUGGAGGGUCUUAAAAUCUAUUGAAGGACUUGUCAUUAGCAUGUAAAAACAAGAAAAAAGCUACACAAAAGAAGGUAUAACAUUAAGGGCAAGUGUGGUUUUGUGAGAAAAUUUGGAUUGAGUUAUAUAACUGUACUGGGUCAGGGUAUGAAAUGCAUUUCUUAUGUUAGGUCAUAUUCAAAAUGAAAAUCACUGAUCCAGAAAAUGAAUUUUUAACAUGUACAUUUUGCUAAAUGCUUGCUAAUAAUUAUCGCCUUUAUUCUGUUUAAAAUAUGAUUGAAGGCAAAUGUGGCCCCUACAAUGUCAUGAAGCUAUUAUAAAAAAAUUUCAGUGUACCAGCUGGCUGAAAAGUAUAUUGUAAUUUAGGUGUACUAAGCAGCUUUCAAAAAUAUAUUCUUUUUUAGAGGGAAAUAACUACAAAAUUUAUAGGUCGGGUUAGAAGAGAUCACUGACAAGGCUGUUAAACAAUAGGACAUAACAGCUGGUGUUACUUAAAUAAGUACAAAAUUAGCAGAGGAUAGAUGUGAAUUGCUCCCCUAGUAACAGAUUUUUUUUUUGGUUUUUAAAUUUAUAUGAUUAAUAACCUAAUAUUCCUUUAAAAUAUAUGCAAUUUUAAAAAUAUCUAGGAAUAUUAGGUUCAUGGACAUUUAUUCUCAAAACUGGAGCUUUGUUUUCAAAAUGGCUAAACUUGAUAAUGUUCUCAGUUACCUAUGAAGUAUUUAAUAAGGGCUUCACCAAUGCAACACGUAGUUACAUAAAAAUAAAUAACAACAAUAGAAAGAGUGCAAUACCUUUGCCCUUUUCCGAAGAAGUUUUGCUAGUCGUACCACAUAAGGCUUAAAUUCUCGUUGAUGUAUGCCCUGCCUUCUGACUUCCAAACCUGAAUCAUCUGAGACUUCCGGAAUGAAGGCCCAUCGGUACCUUUGCAUAGAAGAAGGACUUCAUCAAUAAGACCAACUUUGUGUCAUCUAGGACAAGACCGCAUAGUUGUAGUAGAAUGAUCAUGGCCCUCUCCCACUUAACAUGGAUUCAGAUGCCAGCUGUGCCACUUGUAGCCCUGUUACUUUUCUCUCUGAGCGUUUUCUACUUCAUUAAUAAAUGAUACUAACUACUUCAUAGGGCUAUAAUGAAUAAAUGAAUGUGAGAAGUGCUCAUCACCAUAUAACAGAUGCUCUGUAGUAUCGCAGCUAGUUUUUUUCAUGAGCACAAAACAAGUACUCAACAAAAUUUCCUUUCUCAUUAGUUAAUAGGCAAAAAGUUCUUAAAAGGAAAUUCCUUUUAUUUAGCUCAUUAUUUCUUGGUAAUAUAAGAGCCUCUAAAAUAUACUUGGUCAAAUGUUAACUACACAGUUGGAAAAAGCUGAAACAAUUUAAUAAUAAAGUAUAAACAAGGCUUC